AUUGAACGCUGGCGGCAGGCCUAACACAUGCAAGUCGAACGAGUGGCGGACGGGUGAGUAAUGUCUGGGAAACUGCCUGAUGGCGGGGGAUAACUACUGGAAACGGUAGCUAAUACCGCAUACAAUCAGAUGUGCCCAGAUGGGUUUGGCUAGUUGGUGGGGUAACGGCAUACCAAGGCGACGCUCCCUAGCUGGUCUGAGAGGAUGACCAGCCACACUGGAACUGAGACACGGUCCAGACUCCUACGGGAGGCAGCAGUGGGGAAUAUUGCACAAUGGGCGAAAGCCGGAUGCAGCCAUGCCGCGUGUAUGAAGAAGGCCUUCGGGUUGUAAAGUACUGUCAGCGGGGAGGCGUUACCCGAAGAAGAAGCACCGGCUAACUCCGUGCCAGCCGCCGCGGUAAUAC
rnacentral:rRNA from 1 species